AUAAGAGACUUGUUUGUUUGUUUUUGGGGGGGGGGUAGUUUUUUAAUGAUCUCACCUAAAUGUUUUCUUAGUCAGUGUAUUUGUCUUUAUAAUGUUGUUGCACACUGGCUUACACAUUAUCUUCAGGAAACAACAAUCAGUUUCUCAUUGUUUGAUAGGCUUUGAAAUCCAAUAACAUUGCAUUUUAUUUUGUUGUGUUUGGGUUUUGAUUUGGGUUAUGAUUUGGUUAACUUUAAGUUUAUCAGUAUUGUUUAGGUUUAGAUCAUCAGUGUGAUGAUGAGUAUCAAUAGUUGUUAAUGAAACAUCAGGACUGAAGCUCUGAAUCACUUCAGAUAGAGGAUUUUUCACUGAGAAUUUGAUUGGCCGUUUUUGUACUUUUAUUACUUGGGAUAUUUUUCCAAUUCAUCUCUGCAUUGAUUAUUGGUUGAAAGAGGUUUUUCAAAGUUCAGUAUGAAGGAUCUCAACUAGAUUUUUUCCUAUUUGAUGAAAUCCUGGUUUGGAUUUGUUAAUGGACCUCACACCUCACUGCCAGGGCAAAUGCUUUAAUCAAUUAUUCUAAUAUUUUGAUCCAAAUUCUAACAGUGAUCUCUAUUGGACUUUGAUGCUUUAUGGCAUAAAAGACCCUCCGAUCUUUAUCUCUCAGUUUAUUCACUGCAGGGUUAAAGUUUCCUGUAGAUGUGAUUUUUAAACCCAGGUAAUUGUAGUGUGAUGUGUGAGUUAUGUGGUUAGUUUCUAAUGUUUAUAAGGUGUUGUGUUCCUUGGGAAAGUGAUCAUUUCAGUUUUAUUAAUGUUGACUGUCAGGAUAUGACUGUAUUGUUCAAGCAUGUUGAGGUUCUGCUGUAAGCCGUGUUCAGAACAACAGAACCAAAUCAUCUGCUUACUUUUUUAGCUCUUUUCCCUGACAGUCUUUGGAUCAGUCUGAAUGUUUUUCCUUAUAGGAGCGUUGAUGUUCCUGUUAAAUCCCUCCUGUGGCGCUGUUGCACUGCCUGAGGCUUCUUCACUGUUACACAGAGACACAGAAAACACUGUGAACUCUCAGAAACUUUACUGCAGUAUGAGACUGUGAUGAUGAGUCAAAAAAAUGCCCUGUCAGAAAAAAAGGUUUAAUGGACCUUUUCUGACACUACCCCAAGGUUCUGCUUUGCACCUUUUCAGGUGAAGAAACAUAAUGAACUUAUGUGACCGAUCUUUCUUGAACCGGCAAUCGAUCCAGCAUGGGUGCUGCUCUUACAAGGAGGUUUAUGGCUGUGCGUCAGACCUGUGGCAUUAUGCAUGUGUGGAGUGUUUAAUUUAUUUAGCAGCGCAGAAGGUUGUGAGUUUGAACCCAGGAAACACAAGUACUAAUAAAAUGUAUACUGCCGAGUGCA